CCCCUUGUAAAGCGCCAUCAGCCCGCCUAUUUAUGGAAUGUCCUUCGGGACUAUGAACAUAAACGCGCUCGCAAUAAGCGGAUCGGACCCGGGGGCGGUACCCGGCGUCUCCACCAACACCCAACCGUCCGUCAGGGCAUGCGGGAAACGGCUCAUUUGGCCAGUCUGGGGACGAAAUAGGAUCGACGAACGUCUAAAGGGGUUAGCUUUGUUUCGGUGAGUUACCACCGUUAUCGGUACGUUUAAGCUAGUUGCAAAUGACAACAAUGCUCGGGUUGCUCUCGCUGCGUAAGCAGUGCGAAAUAUCCAAAUUUAAGCCCCUACGCUUUGCAGCCUAGGGCGGGGUUCGCAGGUACCUGGCAACAGAAACCUGCACU
rnacentral:tmRNA from 1 species